CAGGGAUAUGUGGAAGACAAAGUGCCUCACCCUUACUAUGCUCACCCCAAGGAUGAGACUCUUUUUCUUUCCAACUGCAGUUUAAUUGUUGUAGGGUCUCCUCAGGAUGAUGCUCACCUCCUGAUCCUUCUCCACCCUGCCUUGCCCUGUUCCAGGCCUGUGGUAUCAAUACUUAAACCGAGCUGACCUAGGAAGAAUGCCUUUCUUGGGUGUAAAGAUUGAGCAAGCAAUGGACAGAGCCAUUUGAGGAGGGGCAAUGUGUUGUCAUGGAAAGGCCACACAUCCUGGAAUCAACUGACCUGGUAUCUGAUUCAGGCACCAAAGCUUAUGAAUCUUGGAAUAUAGUCAGCUACAAUCAUGGGUUAUUCUCCAAAUGAAGAGUCCAAACACUGGCAAAAUAAAAAGCACAUUUGGUCCAUCACAUUCCUAACUAUAAUGGAUGCUGAGAAAUGGAUGCACUGUAACAACCCGCAAGUUUCCUGGUACUGCUGCUGUCAUUGCAAAACCAUGGCUCCUUCAAAGUAUCCAUCUCUUGCCUCUGCCAGAAAAAGCCAGCCGUUAACAGAAACUAAACCCAAGGUCACUUACUUUCACAUAAAGAGAAUAUUUUGGCAGCUGCCAAAAUUCAUUUUUCUAAUGUGCACUUACCCAAUAACUUAAGCUUGGCAUCCUGGGCAGAAUCCAACUUGGGUAAUUCCAUUUUCACAACCAAAUUCCCCCAAGGAGUUUGAGCUGAACAUCACAUUAUUCUUCACUUCUCCGGCUAUCCUCUCAGUAAUCAAACAAGUGCUUUUCAUCCCUGAAGCGUCAUGGAAAUAUAGGGGUGGGAGUUCAAAAAAGGGUUUCUUCUUAAGAAUAUAGUGAUGAGAGGUUCCAUUAUACGAACUUAGUAAAGUCCUUUGGAAGUCAAGACUGGUUUCAUUUUUUAAAU
rnacentral:lncRNA from 1 species